rnacentral:rRNA from 1 species
UCGGGAAUUUUGGGCAAUGGGCGAAAGCCUGACCCAGCAACGCCGCGUGAAGGAUGAAGUAUUUCGGUAUGUAAACUUCGAAAGAAUAGGAAGAAUAAAUGACGGUACUAUUUAUAAGGUCCGGCUAACUACGUGCCAGCAGCCGCGGUAAUACGUAGGGACCAAGCGUUGUUCGGAUUUACUGGGCGUAAAGGGCGCGUAGGCGGCUUGACAAGUCACUUGUGAAAUCUCUGGGCUUAACCCAGAACGGCCAAGUGAAACUGUCAUGCUAGAGUGCAGAAGGGGCAAUCGGAAUUCUUGGUGUAGCGGUGAAAUGCGUAGAUAUCAAGAGGAACACCUGAGGUGAAGACGGGUUGCUGGGCUGACACUGACGCUGAGGCGCGAAAGCCAGGGGAGCAAACGGGAUUAGAUACCCGCGUAGUCCCUGAGCGGGCUGGCAAGGCGCAU